GCAUCCUUCACAAGCAGAAGGCUUUAGUAAUUGCUGUUCAAGCAACAGAGAAGUGGAGAAAGCUUUCCCUGCAAAUGCUGCAGGGACCGAUAGAGAUCCACAUGGCUGCUUCCUCUGAGCUCGGCUCUGUCUCCUGCAACCUAUUGACAUCCAUUAACAUUCUUCCAGCUAUAAAAAAAAAUGCAUCUGAUUCUAGCACUCUCCAUGGGCAGGAAGCGGGGCAUUGAAUUACGGAGCCUGAGUAAUUGCCCAUAGUCAUUGUGACGGAAAAUGGCAGAAAUCGCCAUGAGUCACGGGGUCCUGGGAAGGCAACUGUUUAGUGACGAUAAUUCUGUAAGGAUAAUUUCAUUAAUGGAAGUGGGAGACGAAGCUUGUGCCAGCGAAGACCGUGAAUGUACAUAUAAAUAUCCGCGGACAUGCGUCUAGUGUUUAAAAAACGGCCACAUGUAAAUGGGACUGUACGUGUCUGCCUUUUAAUGAAUGCCCAGGAGCUGAAUGGCAAAGCACCAUUCAGAAGUGAUUUGUGAUAAUCACACGGGGGAGAAAUCCUUUAAGUGAAAAGAAAUGGGAACAGGGAUGUUUCAAGCCGGGAUGUAAAAAGCUUCUAUUUGAUUUGGGGCCACAAAGGAUUCAAAAGACAUCAAAGCAUUGACGGACUGAAGAGCUUUCACCAAAGGAGGACCUUCCCAGUUCUGGAAUUCAGCACAUGAAUCCAAUCCUCAGCCGGGAAGGUUAUCUGGGGAGGGGGUGGCGGGCUGCCAGAGCUCCCCGCACCUGUCCUGCCCAGGCUUCUCCUGGGUGGGGUUCUGCGCACCUGGACCCAAACAGCCCUCCCUUUAUGAAAUGAACCGAGACGCAUGUUCUGGCUGAAGGAGCUGCUCCUGGUGCCACAUCCGAGACCCAGCAUUCAGCAAUCUGACUGGACUUUUGUUUGGGGCCUAAACUCUCGUGCGCCUGGACAGGGUCUUCCCCUCCCCGCGCAGCUGCGUCCCACCUUCCCCCACGCUCCGUCCUUCCUGCCCGUCAGCACAAACAGCAGAGCAAGGAGAAUGACCCGUCCUCUGCAGCCUGAGACUCCAGAAUUAGAAGCUGGCCAGCGGGUUGUGCAUUGGCCUGGCGGCCGUCACCAUAGGCAGCCGGGCCAGGCAGAGGCCGAGGUAGAGGCCCCGCUCCCUCCCGAUGAACGGAUGGGCGCUGCUCUUGGCUUAUGUCUUGAACUUGAGGCACAGCACCACCAAAUGAGCCUGGGAGCAUUGUUACUGUCCAGUCCAGUGGCCUUCAGUGCGCUCACAGCACCGUGUGGACGUCAGCUACAACGCAUUCCAUGUUUCAUCAUCCCAGAGGGAAACCCUGCACCCAGCAAGCCGCUGCUCCCAGCGCCCUCCUCCCCCGCGACCGCCCAUCUGCUCUGUUUCUAUGGCUCCGUCUAUUCUGGAUGAUUCAUAUAAAUGGAUUCGUGCAAUAUGGGGUCUUUUCUAGCUGACUUCCUCCAGCAGCGGGAUGUGUUUGAGGUUCAUCCACACGGCAGCGAAUACUCGCUCCUCAUUCUCUUUACGGCUGAAUAAUAUUCCGUGGGAUGCUCGGAACUCGUUUUGGUUAUUCACUCUUCCAUGUAUGGACACUUGGCUGCCUCUGCCUUUCGCGUCUGAACACGCUCCGUGGACAAGGAUCUCAGCCUCUGCUUCCCCUUCUAGCUUCACACUCAGAGGGAGCUGCUGGUUGGAAUAUGGCGUGGCCACAGCUGCAUGCUGAAUUGGGGGAGCACCUCCGUGGGCACGCCGGUCACAGGGUGUCCCACCCGCCACGUGUCUGCCUGGUUCUCUCCUGGGAUCUCGGGUUGGAGGAGCAUCAGUGUGUGGCCCGAAGAAAGCAGAAGCAGGAGGCAGAGGGGUCCCUGCUUGGAGGAGCUGAUCCCCCCGGGGCUCAGCCAGGUCCGCCCUCCCCUGCUGGGCCCAAGUGUCCUUCACUACCCUUUUAGCAGGUAAGGACUGAGGGCGGCACAGCCGAGUGGAGACCACACACCUGCCGUGGUACAGUGAGGUGGUUGGGAACAGUGGCCACAUUCCAGGCCCCUCUGCGUCCCCGCAGCUGCUGGAGACGCGGAGCCCUCACCAGGACUGUGGCAGAAGGGCUCUGAGCCCUGGGCACCCUGGGUCCUGGCUCCCAACACCUGACCCCUGACCUCGGCACUUGUUCCUCAGCCCUGCCCUGCGCCAUGAUCCCCGGGUUAGGGGACAGAGGUCAGGAUGGUGGCACAGGAGGUCAAGAAAACAAUCCUGUGAGAUCGGCUCCCGGUGCUGCCUCCAAGAAGCACUUGGCCCUCAGCUGUGCCCGGCCUGAGUGGACAGGGCGGGCCCCAUUGAGAUGCAGCCCUGAGGUGGUGUUGACGGGAGGGACCCAGGGGACUUGUGUGACCAGAUCCUGAAACUCUGGGGGAUAAGGAGGACAGCUCCUCUUCGCACCAAGUCUGUAACAGUGUGUGGUUCCGAGUCCUGCGGGAACCCCUCGGCCUGGGCCAAGGGGACCUGAGAGUCGGACGUCAUCUUGCUGCCGGUCAAAAGUGAGGAGGUGGGCCUGGGCAGGGGACUCUGGAAAUCUCUCUGGGAUCCCCAGUAAAACUGGAGCAGGAGGAGGGCACACGGUCCCUCUCUCCCUUGGGAGCAUCCCCUUUCCCAUCCCUUCAAUAAACUCAUCCCCAUUACUCUCA